rnacentral:lncRNA from 1 species
CUCUAAUGGGCUCCUGAUCCAGCCAACCCACAGGCUGUAAGAUCGGAGGAUUGGGGAUGUAAGCCCAAUAGGCCACACCCUCUAAGCUGGGGGGAGUAGAAAUUAAAGCCAAAAUGGCAAGAAAGUUCAUGCUAGCUGUUAGGGGUUUUCCUUGCUGUUUCAGCAAGGUUUUUGCUUCUUUCAUCAGGUGCUUGAUCUUCAUCCAAGUGAUUCUUCUUGUCUGCGAAGACGGCGCUGAAUUUCUGACCUUUCAUGGCUGCAGCGUAGGCCAUACCCUGAACUACCGCUGUCAUAGAUUGCCCCAUGUUUUCCUGUGAUUACUUACACUUAACCAGUGAUCCUUUACUGGCGGGACUGCAGUUCCCUGGUAAGAGCCGUACCUGAUUUCUGAGGAGAAAGAAAAGAAAGAUUACCUGUCCUUCAAGUCCCUGUUCUGG